rnacentral:rRNA from 1 species
ACGUAGGGUGCGAGCGUUAAUCGGAAUUACUGGGCGUAAAGCGUGCGCAGGCGGUGAUGUAAGACAGAUGUGAAAUCCCCGGGCUCAACCUGGGAACUGCAUUUGUGACUGCAUCGCUGGAGUGCGGCAGAGGGGGAUGGAAUUCCGCGUGUAGCAGUGAAAUGCGUAGAUAUCGGGAGGAACAUCAGUGGCGAAGGCGGCCAUCUGGACUAACACUGACACUGAGACACGAAAGCGUGGGGAGCAAACAGGA